GGUGCUGCAGAAGCACAGAAGUGGGGGUGAGAAGCACUGUACAGUAAGAAUGACGCUGCUUUUGAUCGGUUUUAGACAAGGAAGUUGCCACCGACGCCACGUGUGAGAACAGUUUGGAGAAUAACGUAUAGUAAACGGCGUCUGUUAGAAAUAGUAAGUUCUAAUGCAGGUUCGGUUCGUCUUUCUAAUGGCCUGCACGGUCCUGGUCGAGGAGAGGCGCUGUAAUGUAGGUCAUCGUGUUUCAUUACAACCUCUUAGGUUUCGAUUCCGGCGACGCGGAGCGGGACGAGAACGGAACCGAGCCAAGUUCCACAGAUAGAUGGCGGCCUCACAGCGACACGUGCCCUGGUAUUGUGUGGUCACGCUGAACACCACCUUGUUGGCGCCGUCGCGCAGAUUCAGCCGCUCCUGGACACAGAGGGAAGGGGAGGUGACGCGUGUUGCACCGUGGAGAAACAGGUCCAUCCAUGUUUGUUAGCAGAGGAGCGUGUGUGUUUGUGUGAGUUUACAAUCUGUUUGGAGGUGAGGCGCAGGGAUUUGCGAUACAUCUGGCUGAGACACUGAGUGGCGCUAAGAGUUUCCGCUGACACGUUGGGAGGGAGGGUGGCUUUACGGCCCAGACCUGCGGCCUCAUCGCUGUCGACGUCAUCCAGUGUCGCUCUGGGGAAGCAACGAAGCAAUUAAUCCAGCCAUCGUUUGCAUCUUCCUUUUAAGGUUUGCUGUUUGAGAUCAUUUAUUAGAGACAACUCACUUCACUGAUGCUUGUGGCUUCUCUUCUCCUUCCUUUGUGGUUUUGUGCUAAAAACACAAGGUUAUUUUAUAGGAGCAACCCAAAGAUACCAUCACGGUGUCAACUAUGGUUUUCAAAUAAAAAAAAAUACUAUGAGCAGCAGAGGUAAAUGAAUGCAAAUGAACGGUUACAUUGUAUAAACACAUUUCUUUUCCUUCUUCACAUCAACAUAACUCAGUGAACAACCUGAGUGUCUGCACGGUGGUUUUCCAUGUCUCUCCUCCUCCAGAACCACCAGCGGCCAGAUUUCUUGGGCAUCUUGUCCUUCACUAAUCGCUCUAUUGUGCUCUGUUUGGCACAAAAUGAAACAAAUGUAUUAACAGACAUAAUCACAGUAUUUGCACUUCUGGCUACACUCACCAGCUCCACACCUUGUACGAGCUCAGACAAAAACUUUACUGCAACUUUAGAUUCUUUCAUUAAUGUAAAAGAACCAGUCUCUCUGAAUAUCUAUGAACGAAUAGCAGUGCUGUCAAAUGUGCACUGAAAAAAAGCUUUAGGAGUUACCUUCAUAAUAAAGUAAGACAGUAAAACAAAGUACCUUAGGAAGGUUUUUCUGGAAAGCUGACAUUGACAGAACCACUGGAGCAGCUACAGCCCAGUUGUAAUAGCUGCAAAAUCAAUGAAGGUCAACUCGUUAACACACUGUUGGAAAUGCACUGUUCUACAUCCAGUCUUACUUUUUGAAGGCUUACUUGGAGUUGAUGCAGAUGACGAGAUUAGGAUCUUCAAUGAUUCCUGGAUUUUUGGCAAAGUCCUGGUACGUCACAAGGUGUUUCAGAAACUUUUCUGGAGAAAGAGCCCAACGUAACGCGACGGCUGACGUAACGAUGAGAGACGGACAGAAAUCCGCCGGCGCUCACCUUUGGUGAUCUGACUGGUGUCGCCCUCCUGGCCGCACAGGGACAUGCUGACGUCCACGUUGUAGGAGGUGGAGUCGGACAGGUACUCGGUUCCACUGUCCAUGGCGCCGCUGCCCACCGACUGAGGCGACUGGCUCUCUGAGCAGGAGCCGUGCUCUGCUGCCAGCGCCACGGCUCCCUCUGAGUCACUGCAGCCGCAGGAGACACGCAAGGUCAAUUCAUUGGAAUAUAUCUUCACAUAUCAUUCCAUGUCAGUUUUGAUUAUUUUAAUAAAUGUGGCAUUCAUAAUAAUAUUGUGUGUGUGCCAUCUAACCUCUUUGGGAAGUACAGCGCAGCCAUCUCUGGAUCUAGAGUGGUCAGAUCAUCCAAGUAAAUAUCUGUAGGUCCUAGAUGGUGGUUACGUCUCGCUGCGACUGAUCGACACAUAAAAUGUGAUGCACCAAAUUAAGACUAAUGCUUUGUAACAGAGAAAAAGCAGAAUAUACAGAAAUAAUUGCAUGCUUUACCUUUCCUCUUGCCCUGGUGUCCCACUUUGGACGGCGCCUCCGGUGCGUUCCCUACAACGUCGGGGGCAGUCCUGCUGUCCCCUGCAGCUCUCAUCUCAACCUUUACGGCAGCCUUGCUGGUCAGCGAGCCCCCGUCUGAUCCACGCAUAACGGGAUGUUCACUGCCCUCCUCCCCUCCCUCAGCACAGGGAUCUAUCCCACUGUCGCCCUCGCUGAGUAGGACGCUGCUGCCUAAAGCCUGGUACGUUGACUCCGCGCUACCUGUGCAUGUUGUGGCUGUGCGCUCUUCCCUGUGUUGUGAGGGCUGUUCCUCUUCGUUGUCUAGCUUGCUAACACUGACCACGCUACCUGUGCUAACUGUGUUGUUUUUGUCAUCAAAGUCCUUAUAAUUAAUCAGACUAGCAGAAUUAGAAGGCGAGUCUCUGUCUUGUGCCGUUAAUGUUGAUUGAAGCUCUGGUGCGGCGUUUACGUCAGUCUUAACAGGAUGAUGAGUGGGAGGGUCGUCGUCCGCUGAAUUCGUAUUUGGCAUCGUACGACUGUCUGGGUCUGGCCUGGGAGUCCGCGGCUGCGGCCUGAUCACGGUUACGCUGCCGACUCGGCCACAGCUGAUGACGGGCUCCAAAUCCAACUCAAAGGAUUCCUGUCUCUGUAUGGUGCGAAAGUGAGAAGUGCCCGAAGGGGUGAUGUGCUGCACCUCCACCGGCGUCCUCUCCGACGAACACAGCUGCAAAAAUGACGUUAAAGGAUCCACACUAUUAGACUGUACAAGCACAGUGAUAGAGUUUGCCUGUGUGAGGUGUCAUACCAUAGGAAAUCCACCCCAGUUCCACUGUAUCUGGGGCCCAGACGACUCCUGGGUUCUCACCAAAAGCUCAGAGUCACUCUUGGGAGAGGAUGAUCGGCUAUAAAACACAGUGCUGUGAGGGAAGAGACAAAGGCAGGGAGAGAAACCAUGAAACGUACGAUCAGACGGCCACGGUGAAAGAAAUGAAUGACCUAACUGACCUUUCUAAGGGCGACUGCUCUCCGUCUGAGUGUGGAUGAGUGUCCCAGCUCGUGGCCUCCACCUCAUUAUUAGUCUCCUCAGACAUGUUUUAGCCACAGACCUCAUUUGCAGUGACGUCACGUGCUCCUCCUGAGCAGGACUCUCCUGUCCGGGCUGAUCGCCAUCUCUCUCCCACUCGUCCUUCUCCCUCUCCCUCUCCUCCGACGAGGAGCUGGCGUCUUCCCUCAGGUGAGUAUCAGAGCGCAUGCGUUUGCGCCGGCGCUUCUUCCGGCGGGUGCCAGAGCCGCCACUGAAGGACCCCUCAGGAGCCUCCGGCAACACCUCGGGGAACUCCAGGGUAAGCGGGGAUGUGCACAGAUGGGCUGGGACCUGGGACAGAAACACGAACAGACUGUUUUACACAUGAACAGACUAUUCAAAAUGUAUUUUUAAAAAGGGAUCCAAACGCUUGCGAGUGUGUCUUACCACCAUGUUUUCAUUUUCCUCCACAAAAAAGGCUUCUCCAUUGUCACCCAACUUCAUGUGCAGAUCAACUGCUUCUCCAUUUAUUUCAAUGUCCACCUAAAAUCACAAUAUUUCAUAUGUAUCUAUGCUAAACCAAGAAAGAAUGGAUGACUGUGUGAAAAGAGUCAAACGCACAACUUUCUCCUUGGAUCGCAGCACGCCCAGCUUCCCAAAGCGAACGUGAAAAGGAGAGCACUGGAAGGAGCCAUCCGGCUGUCGCACCACUAUGACGUCGAUGCCCCCGGUGAGCGUGGCGGGGUUGAGACCACGGUACAGCUCCUUCACGGUCACAAACACCGUCUCUGCCAGUUGGCCCACAAUGUUCAUGGUUUGGGACUGGGAACAAGAAGAGACACCAGUGAAACAGGAAGUGGUUGUUAGAAUCUUGACUUUCACAAGGUCAGCAGUCCCCGUGUAGCAUUGAUGAAAUCAGUUAUAGGUAUGUGAUAGUUACAGGUUUACUCUCAGCACAGUGGUACAGAAAUGAUACGUAAUGUACAAAUCUAAAAAAAAAUGUUCAGUAUUUCUGUGGUUCCAAUGUUUCCACAAAACAAUAUCAACCUCUAGUCUAAGUAUGUGUACAGAGUAAAAGUCUACAGCUGGUUGGGAAAAUAGGAUAUUCAUUCAUACACAUCUGAAACCGUGUCAUUAGUAAACAAAAAUAAUUCAAAUUUAACACUUUUCUCAAAACAAACAAAACAUACACUGGUGGAGAAAACCACCUUCACAGUAAAUUCAGCUUCACAAUCAAACCAAACAAAUGAAUCAAAUGUAUAUGUAUAAGUACAACGACCUCACUGUUUGGACAGGAACCAAAUUAAGCACAUUUCAAAAGAAUCCUAGAACAUUUGAUUAUCUUUCAUUCAGUGCACCUCAAAGCGUGUCUGUUCAGAGCACACACCACCAAACUCGUGUCUUACCCACAGUGAAGGAUGCAGGAGUUCCUUCCCAACCAACCUGUGCUGCCUGGACCACCUCUCUGCCAUGUGCCACCGCUACAAAGGCUUUUCCCCCCACAGAAGCUCAGGGACAGUCUGAAGAAAUGUCACGUCCAUUUCCCCCAAACAACACUCCAACACGAACACUCGGCUGCCGCACAAGUCUUCCUGCUCAAAUCCUCUAGUAUCUGUAGCCUAAAGACUACAUUUUGUUAACUCUACAAAAAAAACCUAGUGAAACAAAACCUCCUCCUGAAGUCAGGCUCAACUGGCAACGCUCUAAUCCUUAAUGAUGUGAAAACCCUGGUAAAUUCCGUUAGUAACGUUCCGUCUCUCUCCAACACAAUUUGACAAGCUCACAUACUUCCUCACUUGCGCUGCACAUGACAGCCAGACCAGCAGUUUCUAAAAGGCUUGGACAGGCUAUUCAAACACGCUUGGCAUGAAAACGCGCGCGCGCGCACACACACACACACACACACACACACACACACACACACACACACACACACACACACACACACACACACACACACACACACAGACCGAUGGGCCACAGUUUCUGGGCUUGACCACAGCUCUCUGGGCCAUCGAACACGAAGGGACUCUCCAACGGCCCGGCUCCAGCGACGCUGGUCUGUCCCUCACAGGCCAACUGGGAGGAACUGGCAAAUAAGUGAAUUUAAUGGCUAUUACUGCCAGCGAUGGCCGCGGGGAAGGACAUGACACAAAGGUAGGCUUCAGGGGAAAACAGUGUCUAAUGGGAAGAGAUAUCGGAGUUUAAAUUACAAACCAGCUCUGCUACUGUAUGUAGUAAAAAAACUAAAGGGCAGGACUGAUCCAGUGCUACAACAUGUCGCCAUUGUUUGCGUUAUUAAUGUGCAGAACGUGUAAUCAGGAAUCAGUCAUCUGCUGGUGUUUCAUCGCUGGAUGACAUCAUCAUCGUGCCACAUACACACCUCGGUUUCUCAGUCUGACUGGACUCUUCUUGGCUUUUGUUGACCUUUGCCUCCAGGGAGACGUGGUCACAGAGCUCACACCACGUGGACGCAGGGCAUUCAUCAUGUAUUAGAGCGCUGCAUGUCUAUUAUGUCACGUUUUACGUAAUAAUCAUCCCAUUUAAUGGAGUGUUUAUUUUCACCAAGAGAGCCGAUCUGACAAGACCUUAAUAAAUUAAAAGUUAAAUGA